CCUACGGGAGGCAGCAGUGAGGAAUAUUGGUCAAUGGACGAGAGUCUGAACCAGCCAAGUAGCGUGAAGGAUGACUGCUCUAUGGGUUGUAAACUUCUUUUAUAAAGGAAUAAAACGUGGCACGUGUGCCUUUUUGCAUGCACUUUAUGAAUAAGGAUCGGCGAACUCCGUGCCAGCAGCCGCGGUAAUACGGAGGAUCCGAGCGUUAUCCGGAUUUAUUGGGUUUAAAGGGAGCGUAGAUGGGUUGUUAAGUCAGUUGUGAAAGUUUGCGGCUCAACCGUAAAAUUGCAAUUGAUACUGGCAGUCUUGAGUACAGUUGAGGUAGGCGGAAUUCGUGGUGUAGCGGUGAAAUGCUUAGAUAUCACGAAGAACCCCGAUUGCGAAGGCAGCUUACUAAACUGUGACUGACAUUGAUGCUCGAAAGUGUGGGUAGCAAACAGGAUUAGAUACCCUGGUAGUC
rnacentral:rRNA from 1 species